CUUCCCUCUUUGGUGUUCUGAUAAGACACUUCAUGGUCUCAGAGAAACUCAAAAAUGAUUAAUGACGCCAUGCUUUUGAACUCGAGGUGUAGCCUGGACGAGAAGGUGGGGGCCAGGAGUUUUCUGUCAUGUUGAAAGGAGGAGAAGGAGGGAUGUUCUGCUCGACUACCUCCAGUUUAUGAACCGGAGCUCCUGCAUGGAGAACAUUUGCGUCAUGGCAACGGCCGUUAAUUUAGAUCCUCGAUUCAAAACAAUUGCAUUUGAAAAUUAAAAAAAAAACGCACAUGGCUCCGUUGCCAGGGUAACCACAGAUUGCACAGGGAGCCUGAAAAUGGAGAGAGAAGCGCCGUCACCACCACAGGUGCAGCCCAGAAGUCAGACAGUGAUGACACGGUGGAGGUACAAGGUUAUUUAACUGACCCCUAAGAGACCCGCUUAAAUACUGGAAAACAGCCAGUCCAUGGCGCUGUCGUGUCAGAAGCCUCCAUACGAGUCAAAUCGACUGGAUAUUUCAGGAGUUCUCACUUUUCAUAUCCAGAGGAGAAGCUGCCAGGUGGAGAUGACCCAGUUUACUGAUUGAGAGAUGGAGAAAACCUGAAGAGGUGUAAAUGGUGGUGGUGUUGUCAAGGAGAUGAAGGAUUUUCAGGAGUAAAGGUCAGCUAGGAGACAAAAGAGACAACUGGGAUAAACAGAAGAGUUAAGGCCAUUUUUAACACAAGUGGACCCUUAGAGGUUAUCUGGUGGGUAAGGGCUGGCAAAACCAGAGUUAAAUGCAGUCAGGGUGAGUAUAGAUGAGUUGCAGAUGUGCCAGGAGUCCCCACCAGUAAUCCUGCCCACCUGUGAUGUUGGAUGUGCAGUCAGCUCUACCUGCUGUUGUGACUUUGAUUCAUUUGGAUUAAAAUACACAAAUGUCUUCUUUAGAGCAUCUGAUGAUGUUUUGGUGCAGGAGCCUCCAUCCUCACUGAGUGUUUCGUCACAGCAGGUCUGGUGGUUCCUGUCAGUUGUGCCGGUGAACAUCCUUUUCAUACUAAAGCUCCACAGCUUGUUCCUUCUUUAGUUCUUUGUUGGGCUUUUUUCACAGCCCGACGAAUGAGUAAAUCCAUUGUGUGCCUAUUUUAAACAAAGGUUGGAUCUGAAAAAAAAAAUCAUAAUCUCUAGAUGGUCUGUUCUCUAAAACCCUCAGGAAACCCAUCUUCUGUGAGGCUGUUAGAAAAAGGUCAACUACCUCUGUCCAAAGCCAUUGGGCUGACUUCUUGAAGCACAAAAAACGUUCCUGCAGUAAAAACACUGAGUCAGUUCCUGUCCAUUUCUACCCUUUAGGUCUAAACUUUUAGGAAACAACAAGCAACGAAUCCCAGACAGAAGACAUUCAGGUCUCACCCCCUUCAUGCUCAGUGAUCAGACAGAUGGGUCACAGGGCUGGUGGCUGUGUGAUGUCAUCUUUCUGUGUUAACCCUGGUUAAUAUGACCCUGUCUAUAUGUUUUUCUUGGGAGUUUAUGUUUAAAUGCAAGCUUGAAUGAAUAGCAGUGGGCUGUUUAACAACAUUAGCAGGAGACCCUUCACUACACACAUGACUACAUGGGGACUUCCUGUCGCCCAGGUGACCGAGUAUAUAUAACGAGGAAAAGGGAAAGUAAAAGGAGAAAGACAGGAGCUUACAGCCGUAGGACACGUACUGUUGAGGAUGACCGUGAGUCCAACCGCGUCGGUGGAAAAUAUGGGCAUUUCAUCUCUGCCAUCGGGUGAGACCUCCACAUUCAUGGAAUAACUGGAAACCCCAGCAACUGUGGACAGAGCCGGUAAGCGCGUAUAUACAUGAUCCUACGGACGGAACUUCGACGUCCCGCGAUUUACUUGAAUUUCUUUCAUAUGGUGGAGGGUGGUGGACGCCAAGGAGAGGCGGUGAAUGUGUAAAUAUGAACUAAAAGAAUUUGGUGUAUCGCAGCGGUCCCCAACCUUUUUUGCGCCCCGGACCGGUUUCAUGUCUGGCAAAAUUCUCACAGAUCGGUAUGUUAUAUGUGGCGGACACACGCUGCAGCAACGCUGUAAUAGAGGCAGAUACACGUGAUAAGACUACUCUGUAUUUUUAUUUUGACACGCUAAACAUUGUACUUCGCAUAGGUGUCAUCAUCCUCUCCCUUCAGACGUAUCAAACUUAGGAUAAUUAGAUAUUAAAUCAAAGAUUGCUGAAAGGGAGUGGAAGGAAGCGAAUUUGUAUAUGCCACCCCUGUUUUACAGUAACCAUUUUAUUACAUGAUUUAUCAUUAUUAUCCAGUUCAUAACUUUUCAUCUGAUAUCAAUGCCUUACCAACACAGUUUCAGUUCAUUACGUAUGCUUAAGUAUCAAUAAAUCACAUGACAAUAGUGAAUUACUUCAUACUAAUGUAAAGUAGUUAUAACUAUUUUUUAUAAUAACAUACCACAAUACAGAUCAUUCAUUCAUUCAUCUUCUUGACCGUUUUUCCCUUUCGGG